AUUGAACGCUGGCGGCAUGUUUUCACAUGCAAGUCGAACGGCAGCACAGGGAGCUUGCUCCCGGGUGGCGAGUGGCGCACGGGUGAGUAAUACAUCGGAACGUGUCCUGUUGUGGGGGAUAACUGCUCGAAAGGGUGGCUAAUACCGCAUGAGACCUGAGGGUGAAAGCGGGGGAUCGCAAGACCUCGCGCAAUUGGAGCGGCCGAUGCCCGAUUAGCUAGUUGGUGAGGUAAAGGCUCACCAAGGCGACGAUCGGUAGCUGGUCUGAGAGGACGACCAGCCACACUGGGACUGAGACACGGCCCAGACUCCUACGGGAGGCAGCAGUGGGGAAUUUUGGACAAUGGGGGCAACCCUGAUCCAGCCAUGCCGCGUGCAGGAUGAAGGCCUUCGGGUUGUAAACUGCUUUUGUCAGGGACGAAAAGGACCGUGUUAAUACCAUGGUCUGCUGACGGUACCUGAAGAAUAAGCACCGGCUAACUACGUGCCAGCAGCCGCGGUAAUACGUAGGGUGCAAGCGUUAAUCGGAAUUACUGGGCGUAAAGCGUGCGCAGGCGGUUCUGUAAGACAGAUGUGAAAUCCUCGGGCUCAACCUGGGAAUUGCAUUUGUGACUGCAGGACUAGAGUUCAUCAGAGGGGGGUGGAAUUCCAAGUGUAGCAGUGAAAUGCGUAGAUAUUUGGAAGAACACCAAUGGCGAAGGCAGCCCCCUGGGAUGCGACUGACGCUCAUGCACGANAGCGUGGGGAGCAAACAGG
rnacentral:rRNA from 1 species